CAGGGAGGGGUCCGCCAGCACGUCUGAGCGUCUGCGAAACUCCGUCAGAGGGCUUUAUGUCAAGCAGAAGGAAGGUGCAGAUAAUGCAGCCCCGGAAAAUAAACUGUCAGAGGAAAAUCCUUCUCAGAUCACACAGUUUUCCGCACAGUCUGAUCCAGGAACCGAUGUAUCGGACCGCGCGUUCAUUGACGCGCGCUGGAAGUCACUUCUUGGUUUGGGUUGCUCCUUCGCAGGCUGAUCACAGCCAAUUCUGGCCAGUCAGUUAAUGGGAUUUCCAACAGCUCUGGCAGAGACAAGGCCAGGUGACCAAGUACGUCGCCCCUGUCGAGAGCAGGAAACUCAGCGUCAGGACUGAUCCGCAGAUAUUUUAAGCAUGAGUGUGUCGCGUCGGCAGGCGAGACUCCGGCUCGUAAGUGCCAGCGAGGAGAAUACCGGCUGUAUAAAACCCGCUCCCCCUCUCUCUCAUGUUGCAGGGAUGUCCCCAAGGCUGAAUCAGAGGGCCCAGGCGACCAUCUGCCAGUCCAUUAAUCAUGUAAAGGGCCCUGUUCCUAUCUCACGCCAGCCCACGACCUCUGAAGCCCUAUCCAGCUCCUCUCGUUCGCAUUAUAGGAGCAAGAUACCUUUGUUCCACAUGUGUUAUAAGCAUGUUCUAGGUGUGUCACGGGCAUGUUCUGAGUGUGUUCUGGCAUUUUCAAGGUGCGUAAUGGGCAUGUUCUGGGAGUGUUGUCAUGUUCUAGGUAUACUCUGGGUGUGUUAUGGGUAUGUUCUAGGUGCAUUAUGGGCAUGUUCUGAGUGCUUUUUGGGCAUUUUCUGGGUCUGCUGUCAUGUUCUAGGUGUGUUCUGGGUGUAUUAUGGGCAUGUUCUGGAUGUAACAUGAGUAUGUUCUCGGUGUGUUGGUGUCAUAUUCUAUGUAUGUUCCAGAUGUGUUCUUUGUGCAUUAUGGACAUGUUCUCGGUGUAUAUUAUGUGCACAUUGUAUUGUAGUUAUUUCCUUAUUGUGUUAUAGGCACAUUUAGACACCUUUUUACAAGCUGGAGAGAGAGCAGCCUCAGUGAGAGAGUCAGUUGUAGAGGUCCGGAACCUGUGUGGCUCUUUGACACCUGUACGCUUAUGAUGUAUUAUCUGCCCCACUUGUAUAUCAAAAUGUGUCCACCAAAAAAAUAGAAGUAAAUGUUUAACAGCAUGUUUCCAGGAAGGGAACCGCUAAUGUACCCUUGAGGUGAGCGAUUCUCCGGUGUGUCAGAGUGG